rnacentral:lncRNA from 1 species
GCCCACUGACCUUUCUUUUCCACAAGUUCUUCCCUGCCAUUCUUCUCUUCCUCCUCCAUGGACUUCCUCUUCUCCCCUUUUGCAUGGCUCCCUUCUGAGACCUGCUCAGGAGCGCUGGAGGCUGCAUCACUACUGCUGGCUGGUGGAAGAUCAUCGAAGAGUAAAGAGCUUCCUUUUCCUGUGUCGGCGCUGCCGGCCGGCGGGAGGUCGUCGAAGAGCCGAAGCUGCCCCUGGGCCUCCUUCCCCUGGGCUGAGCCGCCAGGCUCGGGCAGGUCCCCGAACAGGUCCAUCCACCGCGCCCGGCCCAACGCCGCCCGCCCCGCCGCCGCGCCC